rnacentral:rRNA from 1 species
GAGGAAUAUUGGUCAAUGGACGGAAGUCUGAACCAGCCAAGUAGCGUGCAGGAUGACGGCCCUACGGGUUGUAAACUGCUUUUGUAUGGGGAUAAAGUCAACCACGUGUGAUUGUUUGCAGGUACCAUACGAAUAAGGACCGGCUAAUUCCGUGCCAGCAGCCGCGGUAAUACGGAAGGUUCGGGCGUUAUCCGGAUUUAUUGGGUUUAAAGGGAGCGUAGGCCGGAGAUUAAGUGUGUUGUGAAAUGUAGACGCUCAACGUCUGAAUUGCAGCGCAUACUGGUUUCCUUGAGUACGCACAACGUUGGCGGAAUUCGUCGUGUAGCGGUGAAAUGCUUAGAUAUGACGAAGAACUCCGAUUGCAAAGGCAGCUGACGGGAGCGCAACUGACGCUUAAGCUCGAAGGUGCGGGUAUCAAACAGGAUUAGAUACCCUGGUAGUCCGCACAGUAAACGAUGGAUGCCCGCUGUUAGCGCCUGGCGUUAGCGGCUAAGCGAAAGCAUUAAGCAUCCCACCUGGGGAGUACGCCGGCAACGGUG